CGGGAUACUAGCCCACAUCUCCUGAAUGCAACCCAGGCUCUUUAAAUUAAGAUAAAGUUCUCUAGAACGA
rnacentral:tRNA from 1 species